rnacentral:snoRNA from 1 species
GAGGAGGCGAUGAUGCUGAGAACUACCUAUUUUCUGAUGGAAACUCAUUCCUCAGUGAUUACAAAACUUACCAAUGGAUCCUUCUGAGCCCUCUC